AGUUUGAUCAUGGCUACAGAACGAACGCUGGCGGCAUGCCUAACACAUGCAAGUCGAACGAAGCCUUCGGGCUUAGUGGCGCACGGGUGCGUAACAUGUGGGAAUCUGCCCUUCGGUUCGGAAUAACAGUUAGAAAUGACUGCUAAUACCGGAUGAUGACGUAAGUCCAAAGAUUUAUCGCCGAAGGAUGAGCCCGCGUAGGAUUAGGUAGUUGGUAGGGUAAUGGCCUACCAAGCCGACGAUCCUUAGCUGGUCUGAGAGGAUGAUCAGCCACACUGGGACUGAGACACGGCCCAGACUCCUACGGGAGGCAGCAGUGGGGAGUAUUGGACAAUGGGCGAAAGCCUGAUCCAGCAAUGCCGCGUGAGUGAUGAAGGCCUUAGGGUUGUAAAGCUCUUUUACCAGGGAUGAUAAUGACAGUACCUGGAGAAUAAGCUCCGGCUAACUCCGUG
rnacentral:rRNA from 1 species